rnacentral:rRNA from 1 species
AGAGUUUGAUCCUGGCUCAGGACGAACGCUGGCGGCGUGCUUAACACAUGCAAGUCGAACGAAGAGCGAUGGAAGCUUGCUUCUAUCAAUCUUAGUGGCGAACGGGUGAGUAACGCGUAAUCAACCUGCCCUUCAGAGGGAGACAACAGUUGGAAACGACUGCUAAUACCGCAUACGAUUCAAUCUCGGCAUCGUGACUGGAUGAAAGGUGGCCUCUAUUUAUAAGCUAUCACUGAAGGAGGGGAUUGCGUCUGAUUAGCUAGUUGGAGGGGUAACGGCCCACCAAGGCGAUGAUCAGUAGCCGGUCUGAGAGGAUGAACGGCCACAUUGGGACUGAGACACGGCCCAGACUCCUACGGGAGGCAGCAGUGGGGAAUCUUCCGCAAUGGACGAAAGUCUGGCGGAGCAACGCCGCGUGAGUGAUGACGGCCUUCGGGUUGUAAAGCUCUGUUAAUCGGGACGAAUGGUUCUUGUGCGAAUAGUGCGAGGAUUUGACGGUACCGGAAUAGAAAGCCACGGCUAACUACGUGCCAGCAGCCGCGGUAAUACGUAGGUGGCAAGCGUUGUCCGGAAUUAUUGGGCGUAAAGCGCGC